rnacentral:rRNA from 1 species
AGUGAACGCUGGCGGUAGGCCUAACACAUGCAAGUCGAACGGCAGCACAGUAAGAGCUUGCUCUUACGGGUGGCGAGUGGCUGACGGGUGAGGAAUACAUCGGAAUCUACUUUUUCGUGGGGGAUAACGUAGGGAAACUUACGCUAAUACCGCAUACGACCUACGGGUGAAAGCAGGGGAUCUUCGGACCUUGCGCGAUUGAAUGAGCCGAUGUCGGAUUAGCUAGUUGGCGGGGUAAAGGCCCACCAAGGCGACGAUCGGUAGCUGGCCUGAGAGGAUGAACGGCCACCAGGGGACUGAGGGACGGACCAGUGUGCUACGGGGGACAGCGGUGGGGAGUAUGACACAAUGGGAGGAAGCCUGAGACAGAAGCGCCGCGUGCGGGAUGACGGCCUUCGGGUUAUAAAACGCUUUCGCCUGUGACGAAGCGUGAGUGACGGUAAUGGGUAAAGAAGCACCGGCUAACUACGUG